GCACUGUAUGCAUAGAAAUCUGUUCUAUGCAUACAGUGCCCAAAUUAAGAAAAUAUGUGCUUUUUUAAAUUAUUUAUUAUACAAUAAUAAUUAUAGAAAGAUAUAUUUUGCAUAAACAAAAUGCUGAAUUUUUUUGCAAAAACUGUGCAUUGUCAUUGAUAGUCGUCUGCUGUUGCUUAACUUGUACUUCAGUCUCCACUGAGCGACCUGUUGGCAGCUGUCCACUAAACAAAAUGCAGGCAGAAACCUCAGCAAACGAACCGAGAAACGGUUUCAAACCAAAGCAAUUCGCUCCACAGUCUUCGAUUUAAUGGCAUUUCCAGUGUCGCAAUAUGCACAACAAGGCGAUAAGGCAAACUUUGCACAAGUUCUGAGGAGAAUUGCAGCCAGCAGCAGAAGUCCGAUAUAUUGCAUGGUGUGUGAGCUUGUCAUGCUGACCGUAGCGUGUGUUACUUCAGCUCGAGACAAAAGCUGGGGCAGAAUUCCUUCUCAAGUCUCUACAUAUGAAAAAACAUGGAGGCGGGGCAGCGCUUGACUAUCAAGGAAACUAAGUGCAGAAAGAAACAUCUGAAGUGAAAAGUCUCUGUUUGAGUUCCACUGAAGACAUAUGGAUGUAAAACAACAUGAGGCCGAGGAAACUGUGGUAGUAUUUUUAUUUUUGAGCGAACUCUUCCUUUAACCAAACUUUAUCACAUAUGAUGAAUUAAUUUCUAAGGUGCCUUAAUUAUAAACAUCAUGAACUUUGCUAAAGAAUAUGUAUUCUGUCAUCUGAUUUAUAGUCCUAGCAAGUAAAUGACCUUAUGUGUAAUUCUAUAAAUGAUCAAGUUCAGGUCCCAUUAAGUCUUUUUACUGUGAAAUCUGAAAAAAAAAAAUUUAUUUUAAACGUAAGUUGUAGAAAAAUAGUGUUAAAUCAAAUACAUCAGACUUUUGAGAAAUUAAUUUGUAGGCCUACAUUUCUCAAUCAUAAUUGUAUUGAACUGCAUUAUGCUUAUGCCCACUAAACUUAAAACUACAGAGCUUUGAAUCCUUUGUGUUAAGUAUUCGACUGUAUUAGACUACUUAGUUGGUUUAAACUGGAAGAACAUCUUGGAUUAGAACUUAAAUUAAUGACUAACUUGCAUCAGCAUUUAGAAACCAUCUACCGUGUUCCGCUUAAGAUGGAUUUAAAACAAUCUACAGUUUUAUUUUUAAUGAAUUGAUUUAUUUUCAUUCAGGAACAUGCUGAUUUUAAAUCAGAUUCAGGUAUUGUUCUAUUGCAAUGUAGCAUUGUUCUUGUUCGAGAAAACAUGACCAAUUCUGACUGUAUUUGAUUUCUAACAUAUGGUUGCAAUCUGGUCCCAUUUACAAAGUCUAGGGGGUAUUCCAUGUAUUGUGCUUCUCAGGGGCUGGCCAGUUCUUGCCAUCUGAUAUAAAGAGCUAUUCUGUUACUCCCAUCAACUUCAGCUGACAGGUUUUGGUGGGCCCCUUUAAAAAAAAAAAAAAAGUAAAUUGUAAAUUUUAGGGUCCAAAUAGUGCAACUACAUUUUCUUCCUGUUGUCCAACCAUGUUUAACUCUUUUAUAUAGUUUUCACAUCACAUGACAAGAUGAUUUGCUCAUGCCAUUCCAGGUGCUUCAUAACACCAGGUACCUUUCAAUCCCAAGCCAACGGACAAAUUUUCCAAAAUAUAUGAACGUUUUACAACCUCCAAAAUGUUUAUUAAAAACAGUGCUUCUUUUGUUCCAUCAAUGAGUAUGAUUAUUAAGUUUAAAGACAUAAUAAAUAUGAUUAACACUCUUUAAAAGGACUACUGUUUCCAGCACAUCAUAUUUACUCGUUAACCUGGAGGUGCUUACAUGUUCUCUCACAUUACCGCUUAUAGAGGCUUUUAAAACGACUCCCAAUGUGAGUUCACAGCGGAGCAGGAUAGGGGCCUUCUGAUGCUCUGUCCCGCUCCGCAUGCUUUAGCAAAGUUACCCAAUUUUGCUUUUUUUUCAUGGACUUGUUUGUGCCAGAUGUGUCACGCUGAGAUUAGAUCAGCGUUUAUAAUCAACAGCAGAUGAACGGAGGUGACCAAACAUCAGCAGAAAUCAGCAGAAAAUGAAGGACGU